rnacentral:rRNA from 1 species
ACGUGCGCGAGUCGUCGGGCAUCACUAAACCCGAAGGCGAAGUGAAAGCAAGCGGUCCCGCACGCGCUUUGGGCGGGGCCGCUUCCAUGGGAAGAUGGGGCCACCCCGAUAUCGGGGGGUGCCCGCACUCCCGCGGCGCCGUCCUCUGGGACGGCGCACGUUGAGCGUACGCGUCGGGACCCGAAAGAUGGUGAACUAUGCCCGGCGAGGAUGAAGCCAGGGGAAACCCUGGUGGAGGUCCGCAGCGAUUCUGACGUGCAAAUCGAUCGUCGGAGCCGGGUAUAGGGGCGAAAGACUAAUCGAACCAUCUAGUAGCUGGUUCCCUCCGAAGUUUCCCUCAGGAUAGCCGGCGCCCGCUUGGAACAUCGAGUCUCAUCCGGUAAAGCGAAUGAUUAGAGGCCUUGGGGCCGAAACGACCUCAACCUAUUCUCAAACUUUAAAUGGGUGAGAUCUGCGGCUUUCCCAAACGAAGCCGUAGUCCAGGAUCAGGGCGCCGAGUGGGCCAUUUUUGGUAAGCAGAACUGGCGCUGCGGGAUGAACCGAACGCUAGGUUAGGGCGCCUAAAUCGGAGCUAACAGAUACCAUGAAAGGUGUU